GCGGACGUGGCGGAAUGGUAUACGCAGCAGACUUAAAAUCUGCGGCCCACAAGGCAUGAGGGUUCGAUUCCCUCCGUCCGCACCA
rnacentral:tRNA from 1 species